rnacentral:rRNA from 1 species
CGGCCGCGGUAUCCUGACCGUGCAAAGGUAGCAUAAUCACUUGUUCCCUAAUUAGGGACUAGAAUGAAUGGCCAAACGAGGAUUCAACUGUCUCUUAUUUUUUAUCAGUGAAAUUGACCUUUCAGUGAAGAGGCUGAAAUACCAAAAUAAGACGAGAAGACCCUAUGGAGCUUAAAUUAAAAGUUUAAUUUUACUUACAUCAACCUAAUGGUCCAACACAAAAAAUUUAAACUCUAAAUUUCGGUUGGGGUGACCUCGGAGAACAAAAAAUCCUCCGAAUGAUUUUAACACAGACUAACAAGUCGAAGUAACCUAAAAAUCUUAUUGACCCAAAAAUUCUUUGAUCAACGGACCAAGUUACCCUAGGGAUAACAGCGCAAUCCUAUUCUAGAGUCCAUAUCGACAAUAGGGUUUACGACCUCGAUGUUGGAUCAGGACAUCCCAAUGGCGC